GGGGAGGUAGUGACGAAAAAUAACGAUACGGGACUCAUCCGAGGCCCCGUAAUCGGAAUGAGUACACUUUAAAUCCUUUAACGAGGAUCAAUUGGAGGGCAAGUCUGGUGCCAGCAGCCGCGGUAAUUCCAGCUCCAAUAGCGUAUAUUAAAGUUGUUGCGGUUAAAAAGCUCGUAGUUGAAUCUGUGUGCCACAAUGUCGGUCCGCCGCUCGCGGUGGUUACUUGCAUACCGUGGGACGUCCUACCGGUGGACUUAGCCCUUCGGGGCGGUCCAACUAAUAUCCCAUCGCGGUGCUCUUUAUUGAGUGUCGAGAUGGGCCGGUACGUUUACUUUGAACAAAUUAGAGUGCUUAAAGCAGGCUACUUUCGCCUGAAUACUGUGUGCAUGGAAUAAUGGAAUAGGACCUCGGUUCUAUUUUGUUGGUUUUCGGAACCCCGAGGUAAUGAUUAAUAGGGACAGAUGGGGGCAUUCGUAUUGCGACGUUAGAGGUGAAAUUCUUGGAUCGUCGCAAGACGGACAGAAGCGAAAGCAUUUGCCAAAAAUGUUUUCAUUAAUCAAGAACGAAAGUUAGAGGUUCGAAGGCGAUCAGAUACCGCCCUAGUUCUAACCAUAAACGAUGCCAGCUAGCGAUCCGCCGAAGUUCCUCCGAUGACUCGGCGGGCAGCUUCCGGGAAACCAAAGCUUUUGGGUUCCGGGGGAAGUAUGGUUGCAAAGCUGAAACUUAAAGGAAUUGACGGAAGGGCACCACCAGGAGUGGAGCCUGCGGCUUAAUUUGACUCAACACGGGAAACCUCACCAGGCCCGGACACCGGAAGGAUUGACAGAUUGAUAGCUCUUUCUUGAUUCGGUGGGUGGUGGUGCA
rnacentral:rRNA from 1 species